rfam:Aspergillus nomius NRRL 13137 contig00049, whole genome shotgun sequence.
GGGGAUGUGGUUUAGUGGUAUAAUGUUCGCUUAGCAUGUGAAAGGUCCGGGGUUCAAUUCCCCGCAUCUCCA